rnacentral:lncRNA from 1 species
GCAUCAGGGUAUUAUAUAUUUUCUCUUUUUAUAAUCUGCGCAUUAUUUUAACUUCCUUAACAUUGAACAUAUUUCUAGAAAAUUACUUUUAUCCUGAGAUAAUCACACGAUACUAGUCCCUUCUUCAAGAUACAUUAGUCAAAUAGUCAGAUCCUAGUCUCAGAGAAUUCAUAGUCUCAGAACAAACAAAACGUAUGGUCACUACUUACAUAACAUAAUAAUCAUUCAACCAUGAUUUUACAAGAUGAUAUUUAUGAUUAAACUCUUGGGUCUGACCCAUGCUGCACUUUCUCAAUAGCUCCUUUUUCAAGAUGCCGAGACGAUCGGACACACGAGAUGGCCGACAGAUCGAAGGCAUGUCAACAAAUCCAGCCACUUGCAUGCCACUUGCAUCCAAUAUACGCCCGCGACACCCAAACAAUCGAAGGCGCAAAGAAACGUCCACCAAAUUGAAGACACAACAUCAACACCAUCAACCUCAGGUAAUAUCCACAUGCAAUUCCUCACAUGUGUGUCAGCAUUUUGAUCUCAGCUCAACCUUCCUUCUAAUAUUCUAUGUCAAAACUCUUCUGAUACUAAAUUAUAAACCAUGUUUUUAAUGCAUCCUGACACUACCAUGACACCUAUUGAACAAUUAUUGAUUUAUAGUGCCAUCAUACCAGAUAAAUGUACUGUAUGUGACACCUUAUUAGUCUCUUCAUCAUAUCUCCAAAUGCACUUUCAUGUCUGCAAUGGCAAAACAUUAUUAAGUACUCCCUCUGUAACUUAAUAUAAGACGUUUUUUGAUAGUGUCAAAAAAACGUCUCAUUAAGUUAUGGAGGGAGUACAAUAUAAAUCAUAGUACAUGAUACUAUAUUAAGAAAACUCUAUACGUCACUGAGAAAAUCACAUUUGCAGAGAUGACAGUCCAGCAUACGUCAGCCCCAGCAGCUCAUCAUACAAAAAGAAAGGAAGAACAACCUCUAAACUCAAAGAGCACAAAGCGGACAAGGACUGGAGAGGGAAGAAGAAAUACGAACACAGAGGCUCCUAAACGAUUGAGAAAGGAUAGUGCUGAAGAAGAUAAGGAAUUGAAGUGUGCAAGAAGCGGAAGCAACAAAAACAACAUUAGGAUCAAUGUUGGAGACAACAACAGAACAAAUUCAAACAAAGGCAUGGAACUUCGGAAGGUAUGGAACUUCGGAAGGCCAACAUACAAAUGCCAGUAUUGCAAAGCAUUGCUAUGGUGUGAAGAAAGAUUAAAUUCAAACAAAGGAACAAAGACACCCUCUUUUGGAAUAUGCUGCAAACAGGGAAAAAUCGAUCUGCCACCACUAAGAGAGCCUCCACCAUACCUCAGAAACCUCUUAAGAAGUGAAGGACAGGAUUCAGUGAACUUCAAAGAAAAUAUAAGGUCAUACAACUCAAUGUUUUCAUUCACAUCCAUGGGAGGAGUUGUGGACAAGGAAAUAAACACUCGCAAAGGACCUUAUGUUUUUCGUUUGCAUGGACAGAACUACCACCACAUCGGAACUCUUUUACCUGAAGGUACAAACAAACCUCGGUUUGCACAGCUGUACAUCUAUAAUACCGAAAAUGAGGUGGCAAACAGGAUAAGUGCGUCAAGAUGCAAUGAUAAUAAAUCAACAGUGGACCCCAACAUUGUCAAAGAAUUGCAAAUAAUGCUCGACGACAACAACAUCCUCGCAAAAACAUUCAGAAUGGCAAGAGAUAGAUUCCAAGAAGGAGACUACCAUGAUUACACACUUCGGAUACUAGGAAAAAGGAACGGAACACACAACCUUCCAUCCGCAUCUGAAGUUGCAGCAUUGGUAGUAAGAGAUCCAACUGGAGAGAGUGAAGGACGUGACAUUGUUGUUGAGUACAAAAAUAUGGUGCCACAAAGGAUAUCAGAGAUCCACCCGAAAUUCAUGUCCAUGCAAUAUCCGUUGUUGUUCCCAUAUGGAGAAGAUGGUUUUAAACUCGAGAUACCGUACAAGAAAACAAAAGGAGCUAAAAACAGCAGGAAAUACGUAACGUUGUUGGACUACUAUGCAUUCUACCUACAGCAACGUCCAGACCAAGGAAUGUUAUUGCUCAAGUCUGGGCAUCUGUCACUGCAAUUUUGGGUGGAUGUAUACACAUGUAUCGAGCAAAAUAGACUAAACUGGAUCCGACACAAUCAAGGAAAGCUAAGAACUGAACUUUACAGUGGAUUGCAGCAUGCAAUUAAGCGAGGGGACACAAGAACAGAGCAGGUUGGAAAGAGGAUAAUUGUGCCUUCAUCUUUUACAGGUGGUAGAAGAAACAAGGCACAAUACUUGCAAGAUGCAUUCGCAAUAUGUCGUUGGGCUGGAUACCCAGACCUGUUUAUAACAUUCACAUGCAAUGCAAAGUGGCCUGAGAUCCAAUACAUGCUAGAUGAAGCGGGAGGUGACCAAAAGCCAGCCGAUCGGCCAGAUAUUUUGGACAGAGUAUUUAUGAUAAAACUAAAGGAGCUAACGAGAGACAUAAAAGAAAAGAAAUACUUUGGAGAAACACUUGCAAGUAAGUUCCAUCGACUAUCAAUAUUUACUCUUUCAUGCGUCAUCUUAUAGUCAGACAGAUUCUUACCCUUUAGUAAGAUGCAUUUCAAUUUUACCUAAAGUUAACAAACUAUUAUUAACCAACUGCAGUUAUCUACACAAUAGAAUUCCAGAGGAGAGGACUCCCGCAUGCCCACAUACUAAUAUUUCUGAAGGACAAAGACAAGUACCCAGAACCAUCGCAGAUCGAUAAAAUAAUAAGCGCUGAGAUCCCAAACAAGGACGAGGAUCCUGAGGCAUUUGGAGCUGUCGAGAACUUCAUGAUGCAUCGCCCAUGUGGAGAGGCUAAGCAAAACUCACCAUGCAUGGUGGGCCAUAGAUGCAGCAAGCAUUUCCCAAAAAGAUACAAUGUUAGUACUACCAUCGAUGAGGACGGGUUUCCAGUAUAUAAAAGGAAGGACGACGGAAGGCAAAUCAAAAAGGGAGUAGUCAUGCUCGACAACAGAUUUGUCGUGCCAUACAACCGAAAUCUUCUGGUCAAAUUUCAAGCUCACAUAAAUGUCAAAUGGUGCAAUAGGUCUAGAUCAAUCAAGUACCUAUAUAAGUAUAUCGACAAAGACGACGAUCAAGUUACAACCUUGCUCAAGGAAAGGCUCGCAGCAAAUAAAACUGACGAGAUCAAGAAAUACCUAGAGAUGAGAUACAUAUCAACAUCAGAAGCAUGCUGGAGGAUAUUCCAGUUUGAUCUUCACUAUCGUGAUCCAGCCGUUGAGAGGCUACCUUUCCAUCUUGAAAAUGAGCAGCAAGUGAUUUUUCCUGACUCGACUGAUCUUGACAAGAUAGUUACAAGGGAAGGAUCUAAAAGUACCAAGUUCACUCAAUGGAUGGAGGCAAAUAAAAUAUAUGAGCUAGGGAAAGAAUUAACGUAUGCAGAAUUCCCUACAAAAUUUGUAUGGAAACGUGAAACAAAAUGUUGGCAGAAGCGAAAAAGGGACUAUGCAAUUGGAAGAAUCUACUAUGCACAUCCUGCAAGUGGUGAGCGACAUUAUCUGAGGAUGCUUCUAAACACCAAGAAAGGAUGCACAUCAUUUGAGGACAUUAGGACCAUUGAUGGAGUCCCUCACCCAACGUACAAAUCAGCAUGCCAAGCCCUUGGAUUUCUGGAUGAUGACACUGAGUGGAUUGACUGUAUCAAUGAAGCAUCAAGUUGGGCAUCUGGAGCACAACUGCGUCAGUUAUUCACCACCAUAUUGUCCCAUUGCGAAGUCACAAACCCAAAGAUAUUGUGGGAUUCAACAUGGGAGGCAUUGUGUGAAGAUAUGCAAUACAAAAGAAGGAUUAUUCUAAACAUUCCAACGCUUCAGCUCACCAACACACAGAAACAAGCGUAUGGUCUGAUUGAGAUAGAAAAACUGAUGAGGCAAGUAGGAAAGUCAUUAAAGGAAUAUACAGAGAUAGAGCUACCAAAUGCUGCAGAGCUAGAUGAACUUGGGAACAGACUAAUAAACGAAGAGGUCAACUACGACAUGGAGAAACUCAAGGAUGAGCACAAAACCAUACUAAACAAUCUUAACCAAGACCAGAAGAAAGCCUUCGAUAAAAUAAUGGAAUCCGUCAACAAAGGGCUAGGAAAGCAGAUAUUUGUCGAAGGCUACAGUGGCACAGGAAAAACCUAUCUAUGGAAAGCACUAACGACGAAGCUAAGAUCAGAGGGAAAGAUAGUGCUUGCGGUGGCAUCAUGUGGCAUUGCAGCGUUGCUUCUCCAAGGUGGAAGAACAGCACACUCAAGGUUCCGCAUUCCACUUAAUAUAACUGAAGAAUCAACGUGUGAAAUAAAACAAGGCUCACAUUUGGCUGAACUACUAAAGAAGACCUCACUUAUAUUGUGGGACGGAGCUCCUAUGGCAAACAAACACUGCUUCGAGGCACUAGACAAAAGCCUUAGAGAUAUUCUCAGGUUCACUAACGAAAACAGCGACGAAAAGCCAUUUGGUGGAAUGACAAUUAUACUAGGAGGCGACUUCAGACAAAUCCUACCAGUUAUAACCAAAGGAAGGAGAGAACAAAUAGUUAAUGCUACAAUCAAAAGGUCAUAUCUGUGGAAACACUUCGAAAUAUUUGAGUUAACACAAAACAUGCGGCUGAAGUGUUUGUCAGAUGAUCCAAUACAAAAGCAAAAGGUCGCUGAAUUUGCAGAGUGGAUACUACAAAUUGGCGAUGGGAAAACAGCAUCAGAUGAAGGAGAGGAUUGGAUAAAAAUACCAAAGGACCUACUGCUACAGAAAGGAGAAAAUCUAAAGAACUAAUCGUCGAAAGCAUAUAUCCAAACUUGCUGCAAAAAUACCGUGAGCGGGAUUACCUAGAAGAAAGAGCAAUACUCUGUCCAAGAAAUGAUACAGUCAAGGAGAUAAACGACCACAUCAUGAGCCAAAUACAAGGUGAUGAGGUGACAUACCUAAGCCUGGACACCGUGUGCAAGGCAACGACAAACACCAAUAUCAUGAUGAACAUGCAGCCUACUGAAUUCCUAAACACCUUGACGUCCCCAGGAAUCCCAGACCAUGAGCUAAAACUCAAAGUGGGUUUGCCGGUCAUGCUCCUGCGCAACAUCAACCAAGCAGCAGGUUUAUGCAACGGUACAAGAAUGACAAUAACACAACUUGGAAACAAAUACAUCGAGACACAAAUAAUCACAGGAACACACAUCGGUGACAAGGUAUACGUACCUCGAAUAAUCAUGUCACCCAGCGACUCAAAAUGGCCAUUCGUGCUGAAAAGAAGGCAAUAUCCAUUAUCAGUGUGCUUCGCAAUGACGAUAAACAAGAGCCAAGGUCAGUCCUUAAACAAGGUAGGAAUAUAUUUGCCUAAGCAAGUGUUCCGGUCGUGCGCCGCCCGCCGCGGCCGUGUACGCCGCUCCCCGCGAUGCACAACGCUCCCCACCUCCAACUCCGGCAGUGCCUGUGAGCGCGGCUGAACCAGCGCGCAUCAUCAUGUCGCGCUCCGUCGAGAUGGAGGAGGCGGAAGAGGUGCUGAGCCGUGCGAUGGUGGCCACCAUCACGGGAACGCGGCCGCAGGUGACCGCCGACGAGGUGGCCCAGCUCCUGUGCUCCACGUUCGGCUUUGAAGACGGAGACUUCACCACCCACCUGCACAAGCCUGAGGAUUUCCUCAUCAUCUUCGGCUCCCGCGCCUCCAAGGACCGCAUGAACGGCGACCACUUCAUCCGCAGCCAGCGCUUCUCCCUGUCGUUACGCCCAUGGUGCAAGCUUGCCCAUGCCGGCUCCGGCGGGUUUGAAUACCGCGUCGAGCUCGAGCUCCGCGGUAUCCCCGCUAAUGCCUGGCAUCUCGCGACGGCGGAGCAUAUCCUUGGUGCUAGCGUUUGGAUUGAGCGCCUCCACCCCUCGACGCGUUCCCGUGCGGACCUCGCCACCUUUCGCCUCUCCGGUCGUGCUCACGACCCGGCCGCCAUCCUGGAGAUCGUCGAAGUUACUCCGGGCCGCUCUGCCUCCUCCACACCCCCCCCCCNNNNNNNNNNNNNNNNNNNNNNNNNNNNNNNNNNNNNNNNNNNNNNNNNNNNNNNNNNNNNNNNNNNNNNNNNNNNNNNNNNNNNNNNNNNNNNNNNNNNNNNNNNNNNNNNNNNNNNNNNNNNNNNNNNNNNNNNNNNNNNNNNNNNNNNNNNNNNNNNNNNNNNNNNNNNNNNNNNNNNNNNNNNNNNNNNNNNNNNNNNNNNNNNNNNNNNNNNNNNNNNNNNNNNNNNNNNNNNNNNNNNNNNNNNNNNNNNNNNNNNNNNNNNNNNNNNNNNNNNNNNNNNNNNNNNNNNNNNNNNNNNNNNNNNNNNNNNNNNNNNNNNNNNNNNNNNNNNNNNNNNNNNNNNGCCCGCGCUGACGUCGACCACGCCCACGCCCGCAUCGAUGCUCCGCCCGCAGGCGAUGAUGCCGAUGCCGGCGCCGCUCCCGGCCCGAGUCGCAGCCGCCAUCGCCGCCACGGCCGUGGCCGCAAGCGCCGUCGCACUACUGCCGCGCCGGAUGGACGCGCUGAUGGCAUGGCUAUGGACACUGCUGGCUGGACGCGCUCCCGUGGCCAGCAGCGUGCUGAUGGCGUGGCCGUCGCCGCUGAAUGGUCCGGAGCCUGCGCCGCCGCGUGUACCCUUCCGCCGCCGCCGGCUGUGCCCCGCUCGGACCGGUGCAUGGAUGCCUGGCCCACCACCUGCGCUGCGGGUCACCCCCCUCGUCAUAAAGCCAAAAGAGGAAAGAGGGGAGGAAAGAAAAAGCGCGAAAGAAGGGAGGCUGCGCUCGCCAAGGCUGCGGCGGCAGCAGAUCCCAGGCCGACAGGAUCGCAUCAGCGGUUGGCCGUGCAUGUCGCUGCCCCAUCUGGCUCCCAACCGCUGGUGCCAACCCCCCCGACAGGAUCGCCUCAGAGGGAGGACAUGCAUGCCGCUGAGCCAGCUGGCCCCCAACUGCUGAAGCCAACCCCACCCACCCCUGACGCCGUCACUUGUGUCGCCUUGCGACCUGGUGGGCGCGGUUCCAGAUGACGAGCCCACCUGCAGCGAGGUCCCGGACUCCCAGCCAAUGGCGCCUCCAAUCGCUGUUGUGGAUGUCGAUUCUCUGUCGGGACAAAGCGCUGCUUUGCCCACAUCAGCGCCUGCCGCCGCCGUCCUGCAUGCUGGCCAAUCCGCGCGGGCGGACGCGCGGAAUCUCCAAUCUGAUGCCGCCUCACUGCCACCCCAUGGCUUGCUGGUUUCUGCUGCUGGGGCUGACUGCCAGCCCGCAAGCCCCUCAGCGGCCCAAGCCCAGGUGCGGAUCCUCCAGAGGCCCCAAAGCCCGGACAGCCCAUCAGUUGAGCAGGCGAUUCUGACGCCAUCACCUACCAUCAGAAGCGCGACACGCUUUGCGUCCCCCCCUGUCACGCUCCGCCGCAGCCGCCCGCGUGCUCCCUCGACAAGCUCCUGGACCCUUGGUGACUUCCUCACCGCGGCCACCAGGCAGCUCAGCUCGGUCCUCCCAACUCCUGGCCGCAAGAAGAGAAGGCAGCCGCUGAAUUUCUCCCAGCCUCGGCGCGGGCGCUCGGCCACCGCGGCCAAGGCGAAGACCGGUGCACCGCCCACUGCAGAACGACGCGCGCAGGUGCAGAUACUACGCACGCUCGGCAUCGUCGGUGUGGAUCAGGCGAUCACCCCGGAAGCCAUGAAAGCAUACGAUGAUGUGUUUGCCGCGCCGAUCCCCCAGACCGUCCUUGCGGCCAUUGCGGCGCUGGUUGGUCGCGAGCUCCCCGUCGACCCCUCCGUCGCACCGGUUACCACGGUCAUCGCUGUCAGGCCGAUCGAGGCCUAGGCGCGCGUGUGGACCCCCUGUGUCGAUCAUGUUCUUAUGGAUCAUGGCCUGAAAAUUAUCGUUUGGAAUGUCCGCGGAUUAAACGCUCGCGCUCGGCGCACCGCCAUUCGCUCGUUGAUUGUCUCCACCGACGCGUCGAUCGUUUGCUUCCAAGAAACCAAGAUGGAGUUCAUCCACAUGUCUACUGUCCUUGAAACACUCGGUUCGGACUUCGAUGACUACGUUUACCUGCCGGCGAUUGGCACCCGCGGCGGUAUUCUGCUGGCCUGGAAGAGCAGGAUGGUGACUGCUGACAAUCACAUGUUCAGCCCCAACACGCUUACUACCCAGGUCUCGACUCCAUCGAGCGCUGAUGCACCUUGGUGGCUGACCAUUGUUUAUGGGCCGCAGCAGGAUCAUGAGAAGAUCGCGUUCCUUCAGGAAAUCCGCGACGUGCGCGCCAAUUGCGCCGGCCCAUGGAUGCUUUGCGGGGACUUCAACUUGAUCUAUCGAGAUGAAGACAAGAACAACGGGAACAUCAACAGACGCAUGAUGGGGCGCUUCCGCCGUGUUAUCAAUGACCUCGCGCUUAAGGAGGUUUACCUCAACGGUCGGCGAUACACAUGGUCGAAUGAGCAGACCCGCCCACGCUGGUUCACCUCGAUCGUGUCCUCUGCACUGCAGACUGGGAGGAGCGGCACGGAGAGUGCCACCUUCGCUGCCUCGCCUCGGUUGUCUCCGAUCAUAGCCCGCUCAUUCUUGACUGCUCGCCUUUGCCCCCGGUGCAUCGGCGUUUCCAUUUCGAGGAGUACUGGACGCGUAUUGCGGGCUACCAGGACGUGGUCGCGGCUGCUUAGAGUUCGGUGGACGACCCGAGCCCGUUUUGCCGCAUCAUGCGGCGCAUGCAGGCCACUGCGCGCAUGCUCACGAGCUGGAGUGCUCGCGCUGUGGGCAACAUCCGCGACCAGCUCGCGAUCUCGCGUGAGCUGCUCCUGCGUCUUGACUCGGCCCAGGAGCUCCGCCAGCUAACACCCCACGAGGACUGGCUCCGCCGACAGAUCAAGCUGUCAUAUCUUGGCCUCGCCUCGCUGGAGCAAACUUUGGCGCGACAGCGCGCGCGCAUCUCUUCCCUCAAAGAUGGCGACGCCAACACUUCUUUUUUCCAUCGCCAGUGCACCUAUCGCAAGCAGAAGAACAUGAUCCACUCCCUGACGGUUGACGGCGCCGUGCUCACCGACCCUGCUGACAUGGCCGCGGCGACCUUCGCGCACUUUGAUUCUCUGCUCGGGACCGAUCGCCCUCGAGACUGCACCCUUGACCUGCAGCACAUCAUCGAGCCGCCCGUCCUUGACGACUUGGAAGCCCCUUUCAGCGAAGAAGAGAUUUGGCAAACCAUAAAGCGCUUGCCAGCGCGCAAGGCACCCGGCCCAGAUGGUUUUACCGUGGAGUUCCUUCGAUCCUGCUGGCCCGUUGUCAAGCAUGACUUCGUCUGCGCCUUCCAGCAGCUCCAUGCGCUCCGGGGACGAGGAUUCAGCUGCCUGAACCAAGCGCUGCUCACGCUGAUCCCAAAGCGCGCCGACGCUGCCAGCCUGUUCGACUACAGGCCCAUCAGCCUAAUCCACCUCGUCGCCAAGAUCUUCGUGAAGAUGUUAUCUCUCCGCCUUGCGCCCAAGCUGAAUGACUUGACCAGUCCCAUCCAGAACGCCUUCAUCCCCGGGUGCAGCCUCCACGACAAUUUCUUGAUCGUGCGGCAGUCGGCGCGCCUCCUCCACCAGCUGGAAGCCCCGCGCAUCCUCCUCAAGCUCGACCUCACCCGCGCCUUCGACUCCGUCUCGUGGCCCUUUCUCUUCGAGGCCCUGCGUCGAUAUGGAUUCGGCGACCGCUUCCUCGGCUGGAUCGCUAUCUUGCUAUCGUCGGCCAGCACCCGAGUCCUUCUGAAUGGCGCGCCUGGACCUGCGAUCUGGCAUCGUUGUGGACUCCGCCAGGGCGACCCUGUGUCACCGCAGCUCUUUGUGCUUGCUGUCGACACGUUGGGGCGCUUGUUCUGCCGCGCUGCCGAGCUCAACGUUCUGCAACAGUUGCACCCCCGUCGUGCGAUUCCCAUCAUCUCGCUGUAUGCCGACGACGUCAUCCUCUUCUGCCACCCCUCGCCUAGCGACACGUUGGCGGUCAGAGAGAUCCUGCAGCUUUUCGGCCGUGCGUCAGGCCUGCGAGUCAACUUCCAGAAAAGCACUGCCACGAUGAUCCGUUGUGCGGAUGACGAGGUCGCCCCGGCCGUCGCGACCCUGGGAUGCCCCCUCGCGGAGUUCCCCAUCACCUACCUGGGCAUCCCCCUCACCUUGCGACGCCCGACGGCCGCCCAGCUACAACCCGUCGUUGACAAGACAGCCGGGAAGCUGCCCACUUGGAAGGCGCAUCUCAUGAACAAGGCUGGGCGCCUCGCCUUUGUCAAGUCCGUGCUCAGCGCCAUUCCCCUACAUCAGCUCCUUGUGCUCGCGCCGCCGAAGAAAGUCCUCAAACUCCUGGAGAAGAUCCAGAGAGGAUUCCUUUGGGCUGGCCGGGCUGAUGCCCAAGGCGGCAACUGCCACGUGAAUUGGCGCCGCGUCUGCCGCCCUACCAGCCUGGGUGGCCUGGGCAUCCACGACCUGGAGCGCACGGGCCUCGCCUUGCGCACCAGAUGGCUCUGGUUUGCACGCACUGAUGGAAACAGAGCAUGGGCUGGCCUCGACCUGCAGUUCUCUCGCGAGGAACGUGCAUUCUUCUUCGCGUCCACCUUCAUGAUCCUUGGCGAUGGAAGACGGGCUCUAUUUUGGGAGGACCGCUGGAUCAACGGACGAUCCAUCUCUGAGAUCGCUCCUCAGCUGUACGCCCUCAUCCCCAAGCGCCGCCGCAAAAGCAGAACGGUGGCAGACGGUCUUCAGGCGCACCAGUGGGCUUCAGACAUUCAUGGCACUCUUGGCAUCCAAGAGAUUGGCCAAUACUUGCUAACCUGGCGAGCCAUCGAGCAUACCACUCUCUUGCUGGACCGGACCACCUCCAAUGGAAGUGGAAUGCUUCAGGCACAUACACCGCGCAGUCCGCGUACCUAGCCACCUUCCACGGCUCUACAGCCUGCCCGGCUUGGCAGCUUACCUGGAAGGGUUGGGCCCCUCCGUGUGUGAAGUUCUUCCACUGGCUCGCUAACUUGGGACGCUGCUGGACAGCCGACCGCCUCGCCCGCCGCGGAUUGCCGCACCCUCCUCGCUGCCCGCUUUGUGAUCAGGUGCCGGAAUCGAUGAACCACUUGAUCCUGGAAUGCCCCUUCACCAAGCAGGUUUGGCACGACGCCCUGUCUUGGCUGCACCUACCUUGCAGCGCGCCUAAUGGUGAAGGCUCCCUGUCCGUCUGGUGGCGCACGGCGCGGCAGGCCACGCCCAAGCCGAUGCACAAAGGGCUCACAACCGCAACGCUGCUGAUCCCUUGGAUGACCUGGAAGCAUCGCAAUGAUUGCGUCUUCAAUGCUGCAACCCCAUCGACUAGCGUCUUGGUAGCAAGGAUCAAGGAAGAAGCCGCGCUUUGGGCUACCGCGGGUGCUCGAGGCCUGCGUGUCAUCCUUCCACAGACCUGGGACGUCCACUAAUGUUUUCUAGUGCUUUUGUCUGUACCGGAGCCUCCUAGGAGGAUGUUACAAACUAUCUCUCUUUUCAAUAUAAUGAAACGCGUUUUCUCGAAAAAAAAAGUGUUCUGCCACGGACAACUGUAUGUGGCAUUAUCAAGAGUGACAAACAAGGAAGGAUUGAAGGUGCUGAUCAAUGACAAAGAGUGUCCAACUGAAGAUGUCGCAAAAAAUAUUGUUUAUAAAGAGAUAUUCUAAUUUACAGUGCAGUUGAUCAAGAUAACCUUCCCGCAAAAAAAAAAGGACAACCUAACCACAUGUUAUCAACAAAAUAUGUACUUGGUGGGUGUGUUCAUUUUAUUUAGCUAAUCAACAUAUAUAUGUUUGAUCUCUCCACACAAUAUUACUUUUUUUUGUUUAUUAGUUACUUAUCCCUGAAUAAUUUCUAUCUCUCUUCUAUCGUCUUUAAAAGAAACUGAAGCAUAAAUAUCUUUAGGUAGCUACAUGCAGUACUAUAUUUGAUCGUUCUGGAGAAAGUUCACCAAUGAAUUCCACCUAAUUAGUGAUUACUAAUCUCUCUUGCACUAACAUUCUCAUCUCUCUUACGGUUAGUCUCUCUAAAAAAAUAGGCAUCAACGAAGCCUCCUCAACCAAAUAAAUGUAUGUGUACAUAUGUAUCUUUAUUCUUUCAACAUAAUAUACAAUUUCCCAUUCAUCAAUUCUGUAUCCGUGAGCUAAAUCUUUAGUGUUUCCACAAAUAAGUUUUUUUGUACAUUAAUAUUUCUAUAAACUUGAGGAUGAUGGAUAAGUCUAUGUACUAAGGUCUUUGUGGGGCUGCAGCACAUGGUCCUUUGGCUGCAGCACAUGGUCCUUGUGGCAGUUAGGAUAGAAUCCCUGGCCAUCAAGGACUGGCAGUUAGGAUAGCAUCUUAGACUAGCAUCUUAAACUGGCAUCUUAGCAGCAUCUUAGACUAGCAUCUUAGCAUAUGCUUGGCUGGCUAGCAGCCUAUAAGUAUGUAUCCCCAACCCCUCAGGUUGGCAUGGCAUUGUGUGAGAAAUAAACCAACGAAAAUUGUCCCAACCCUCCUAGUGUCAUCCACAACUAUGAAAUGCUCAGGCUGAAAGGUCUAACAAGUGGUAUCAGAGCCAGGUUAUCUUGUACCCUGAGCAUUUCCUGCUUACCUCCCUCACCGGGAGCUGAGCAACCCAAGUCGGUAGCAGCAGCUGCUCCGUCUGCCUCUGGUUACCUCCCUCCCUCUGGACUGUCGAGCAGCGGCUCGGCAACAACAGCCUCUUCUUCACGCAACAGCCCCCCUGCAGCGAGCCAUGUCUGCAGGUCGCUCUCAGCACACGGCUACCUCGAGCAUGCGGCGCCGGCAGGAGGCCGAGCGCGCCGUGGCAGAGGAGCGUGAGCGAGCGGCUGUAGCAGCAGCUGCUGCGGCGGCAAGGGUGUCGAGGCUGGUUGCAGCGGAGCUGGCAGCAGCCAGAGCGGAGGUAGAAGCAGCCAGGGCGGCGGUAGAAGCAGCAGCAGCAGCAGAAGCAGCCCGUGAGGCUACAGCGGAUGCCAAGGCACUCCGCGGCGGCCCCGGCAGCUCCAGCGGCUCCGCGCCUGCGGACGACGGCGCCGACGCAGAUCGCGCCAAAGUGGCGCAGGAGCGGACAGCGCAGUGGGCAGCCGAGCACGCCCGCGCUCCAGGUGGAGGCGCGCACCGCGACGGCGGCUGCAACGACCAGGACCGCGGCCUCUACGAGAUCCAAACUGUGGUCAGGGAUGUUGGUCCCAGUGUUGGGUGGCCUACCCUCACUAAAACCAACUACGUCGAGUGGGCCGGGAUCAUGAAGGUCAGGCUCUAGGUGCGGCGCAUGUGGGAGGCAGUCCAGGACAGCAACGUCGACCACCUACAGGAUCGACGGGCACUGGACGCCCUCAUCGCCGCAGUCCCGCCCGAGAUGCAGUUCUCGCUUUCCAACAAGCGGACUGCCAAGGAGGCUUGGGACGCCAUCGCCGCAGCACGCAUCGGCAGCGACCGUGCUCGCAAGUCCACUCUGCAGGCACUUCGUAAGGAGUGGGAGAGCCUGGCUUUCAAGCCAGGUGAGGACGUUGAUGACUUUGCUCUCCGUCUCAACACUCUGCUGCAGAAGAUGGUGAAGUUUGGCGAUGCCACCUACACCGAGGAGAGAGUUGUCGAGAAGCUUUUUCGGUGCAUUCCCGAGAAGUACAAGCAGAUGGCUCGCUCGAUCGAGUCGUUGCUGGACCUCUCCACGAUGACGAUCGAGGAGGCGAUAGGCCGUCUCAAGGUCGUCGACACCGACGAGCCACAGCCUCCCUCGGGGCCCAUCACCACCGGCGGGAAGCUGCUCCUAACUCGGGAGCAGUGGGAUCCCAGCCUUGGUGACAGGAAGAAGGGGGAGCCUUCUUCCACGACGGGCGGCCGCAAGCGUGGCAAGCAGCGUAAGACGCGAAGAGGCCCCCCGGGCAGGGCACAAGGACGUGCCGAAGGUGACGCCCGCGGAGGCGCCAAGGACGGCGCCGCUGGCAAGCCCAAGCCGACACAAGACAAUAGUUGCCACAACUGUGGCCGGUUUGGCCAUUGGGCCAAUGAGUGUUGGCAACCACGACAAGGCCAGGCUCACGUCGCACAGGCGAAGGAGGAAGAGACGGCUCUGUUCAUGGCGCAUGCAAGCAUUGAGCUAUCCUCAGCGACACCAGUCGCAAAAGCUCUCAUCCACCUCGACGAGCCAAAAGCGCACGCUCUUCUCGGCGAUGGCUCCGGGAAGGACAAGACUACGGGGUGGUGCCUCGACACCGACGCCACCCACCACAUGACCGGUCGAAGGGAAUUCUUCGCCGAGCUCGACUCCGAUGCGCGAGGCUCCGUCAAGUUUGGGGAUGCCUCCGCUGUGGAAAUUAAGGGCGUCGGCUCCGUCAUCUUCACCGCCAAGGCGGGAGAGCACCGGCUGCUCACCGGUGUCUACUACAUCCCCGCGCUAAGGAACUCCAUCAUCAGCUUGGGACAGCUGGAUGAGAACGGCUCACGCGUGCUGAUUGAGCAUGGGGUCCUACGCAUCUGGGAUCGCCAGGGUCGCCUUCUCGCCAAGGUACCCAGAGGUGGAAAUCGACUUUACGUCCUUGAUGUGCAGGUGGCACAACCGGUCUGUCUCGCUGUCCGUCGGGACGACGAGGCGUGGCAAUGGCAUGAGCGCUUUGGGCACCUUCAUUUUGAGGCCCUGAAGCGUCUAAGUGCCAAGGAGAUGGUGCGAGGCCUGCCAUGCCUCGACCAUGUGGAGCAGUUCUGCGACAUCUGCGUGAUGACGAAGCAGAGACGACUCCCCUUUCCCCAACAGGCGAGUUUUCGGGCCAAGGAGAGGCUGGAGCUCGUGCACGGAGACCUGUGCGGCCCGGUGACGCCAGCCACACCAGGAGGUCGACGCUACUUCCUGCUGCUCGUCGACGAUCUCUCCCGUUACAUGUGGGUGAUGAUCCUCGGCAGUAAGGGAGAGGCGGCGGACGCCAUCAGGCGCGCGCAGGUUGGUGUGGAGGCGGAGAGCGGCCGCAAAUUGCGCGUGUUGCGCACUGACAACGGCGGCGAAUUCACGGCGGCUGAAUUCGCGUCGUACUGCGCCGAUGAGGGCAUCCAGCGCCACUACUCCGCGCCGUACAGCCCGCAGCAAAACGGCGUCGUCGAGCGGCGCAACCAGACGGUUGUGGGGAUGGCUCGAGCUCUCCUCAAGCAGAGAGGGAUGCCGGCUGUCUUCUGGGGAGAGGCGGUGCUAACAGUCGUCUACAUCCUAAACCGCUCGCCUACCAAGGCACUCGACGGCAGGACACCGUACGAGGCCUGGCAUGGGCGGAAGCCGGCGGUCUCCCACUUGCGGGUCUUUGGCUGCCUUGCGUUCGCCAAGGAGCUCGGUCACAUCGGCAAGCUCGACGACAGGAGCACUCCGGGAGUCUUCAUCGGCUACGCGGAGGGCUCAAAGGCCUACCGCAUCCUCAACCCAAAGACACAGCGUGUGCGCACGGCGCGAGACGUCGUGUUCAACGAAGGGCGAGGGUGGCAAUGGGACAAGGCGGUGGACGACGGCUCGACGCCGACGUACGACGACUUCAUUGUCGAGUACGUCCACUUCAAGGAAGCCGGGGGAGCAACCAGCUCCUCGUCGCCGGGCACGCCUACCCCGGCCCCCAAAACCACAUCGACUCCGGUGCCUGCUACGCCGACGGCACCACAACCGGCGACGCCGCACACUCCAGCCCCGGCAAUCACCACCCCGGGCUCAUCUUCAUCAGCACCAGCUCACGCAGAGCACAACCCGACGAAGUUCGCUUCUCCGCUCACUCACGACGAGGAGCGGAUCGACGCGUAUUAUGGCGGCGAACCGCUGCGGUAUCGUACGAUGGAAGAUCUACUCGGCGACCAGCCGGUGCCGAGACUGGUGCCACGUGACCUGGAGGCGCAGCUACAAAUCGCGUGUGAAGACGGCGAACCACGGUCUUUUGCAGAGGCCGAGAGAGACGCGGCAUGGCGCGCCGCGAUGCAGUUGGAGAUGGAUGCGGUCGAGCAAAACCGCACCUGGGAGCUCGCUGACCUCCCUCGUGGUCACCGCGCAAUCACCCUUAAGUGGGUGUUCAAGCUGAAGAGGGAUGGAGCCGGCGCCAUCAUCAAGCACAAGGCUCGCUUGGUGGCCCGAGGCUUCUUGCAACAGGAAGGAGUCGACUUCGACGACGCUUUCGCUCCCGUGGCACGGAUGGAGUCCGUGCGACUUCUCCUCGCGCUGGCUGCCCAGGAGGGCUGGCAUGUCCAUCACAUGGAUGUCAAGUCGGCAUUCCUCAACGGCGACUUGAAGGAGGAAGUCUACGUGCAUCAGCCACCGGGAUUUGCGAUCCCUGGCCAGGAGGGCAAGGUACUCCGCCUGCGCAAGGCUCUCUAUGGCCUACGGCAGGCACCUAGGGCGUGGAACGCCAAGCUGGACUCCACGCUAAAGAAGAUGGGCUUCGAGCAAAGCCCGCAUGAGGCGGCCGUCUACCGACGGGGCAGUGGAGGAAACGCCCUGCUGGUGGGCGUCUAUGUUGACGACUUGGUGAUUACCGGCACCAAAGAUGCAGAGGUGGCAGCGUUCAAGGAAGACAUGAAGGCCACCUUCCAGAUGAGUGAUCUGGGGCUCCUCUCCUUCUAUCUUGGGAUUGAGGUGCACCAGGAUCACUCCGGGAUCGCGCUUCGACAGUCCGCCUACGCCAAGCGCAUCGUUGAGCUAGCUGGGCUCACCGACUGUCACCCAGCUCUCACUCCGAUGGAGGAGAGGCUGAAACUGAGCCGCGACAGCAAGGCGGAGGAAGUGGAUGCUACGCAGUACCGACGCCUUGUGGGGAGCCUUCGCUACCUCGCCCACACACGACCGGACUUGGCAUUCUCCGUCGGCUAUGUCAGUCGGUUCAUGGAGCGACCGACGUCGGAACACCAGCAGGCAGUGAAGAGGAUCGUCCGCUACGUAGCAGGGACCCUCGACCACGGCCUCCACUACCCUAGGUGUCCGGGGGCGGCACACUUCGUCGGGUACAGCGACCACGCCGGCGACAUCGACACCAGCAAGAGCACGAGCGGGAUCCUCUUCUUCCUCGGCAAGUGUCUCGUGAGCUGGCAAUCAGUCAAGCAGCAGGUGGUGGCCCUGUCCAGCUGUGAGGCUGAGUACAUAGCGGCCUCCACCGCCUGCACUCAGGCGCUCUGGCUCGCUCGACUGCUUGGUGAUCUUCUUGUUCAAGACACCAGAACGGUGCAGCUCCUGGUGGACAGCAAGUCCGCCCUGGCCCUGGCAAAGAACCCGUUUUCCACGAACGGAGCAAGCACAUCCGACUGAGGUACCACUUCAUCCGCAGCUGUGUGGAAGAAGGGAGCAUCGAGGCGAGCUACAUCAACACCACGGACCAGCUCGCAGACCUGCUCACCAAGCCUCUUGGGAGGAUCAAGUUCCUCGAACUCUGCUCCAGGAUCGGGAUGAUUCAACCCUCCCACAAAACGACGUACAAGACUUAGGGGGAGAAUGAUGGAUAAGUCUAUGUACUAAGGUCUUUGUGGGGCUGCAGCACAUGGUCCUUUGGCUGCAGCACAUGGUCCUUGUGGCAGUUAGGAUAGAAUCCCUGGCCAUCAAGGACUGGCAGUUAGGAUAGCAUCUUAGACUAGCAUCUUAGACUGGCAUCUUAGCAGCAUCUUAGACUAGCAUCUUAGCAUAUGCUUGGCUGGCUAGCAGCCUAUAAGUAUGUAUCCCCAACCCCUCAGGUUGGCAUGGCAUUGUGUGAGAAAUAAACCAACGAAAAUUGUCCCAACUCUCCUAGUGUCAUCCACAACUAUGAAAUGCUCAGGCUGAAAGGUCUAACAGAGGAAUAAAUUGAAAGCGAAUAAUAAAGAUCGUACCAUUUUAUUUUAUUUUAGAAUGGAUAUCAAAUCUAUUGAAUCUACCCUCAUCUCUCUCAUAUUAAGACGUCCAGAAGACACGAUCCCCAACUCUAAGAUUCCCUCUAAUGAAUAGUACCCUAAUCUCAAUCUCUAUUCUACCAGCUCCAUGAAAAAGUGGCUGCAGCAUGGAGAUCUAAAUGUCUAAUUUACUUGAUCUUAAGUAUGAUUGCGGGAUGGCGAUUCUACCCAUCGAUUUAUAAUCUGGGAUGAAAUUUAGCUCAUGUGACAUGGAGAAAAAUUUAGGGAUUUCAGUACCUGUUCAGGCUCCGCCAAAUCCACUCGGCCAAAGAGUUUGGGGGUGAUGCUGCGAUGUACAUCUUCCCUCUGCAUAAGGUAUGGUUGGCGGCGCUACGCCACUGCGAGCGGCGAGCGACGGCGCAUCCUACAAAUAGUCCAUACAUGAAUAUCAACAGUAUGUAUGUACAGGUUAUCUGCUAAGUAGAAAUUUUAACUGCAUAAUUUUAUAAUUAUCACCAGAUCUCUUAAAUUACUUAACAGACAAACUAAAUAACUGAAAUUAUGAAGUGCAUAUGCCGCCAAGCAAAAGGAAAAUGGGAGGUUACAGAGAGAUUCAUACCUAUUGCUCUUCCUCCGCCUGACACGAACAACUGGCCCUUCAGCGCAGCGCCAAAACUCUC